rnacentral:rRNA from 1 species
ACUCCGGGGAUAACAGGCUGAUACCGCCCAAGAGUUCAUAUCGACGGCGGUGUUUGGCACCUCGAUGUCGGCUCAUCACAUCCUGGGGCUGAAGUAGGUCCCAAGGGUAUGGCUGUUCGCCAUUUAAAGUGGUACGCGAGCUGGGUUUAGAACGUCGUGAGACAGUUCGGUCCCUAUCUGCCGUGGGCGCUGGAGAACUGAGGGGGGCUGCUCCUAGUACGAGAGGACCGGAGUGGACGCAUCACUGGUGUUCGGGUUGUCAUGCCAAUGGCACUGCCCGGUAGCUAAAUGCGGAAGAGAUAAGUGCUGAAAGCAUCUAAGCACGAAACUUGCCCCGAGAUGAGUUCUCCCUGACUCCUUGAGAGUCCUGAAGGAACGUUGAAGACGACGACGUUGAUAGGCCGGGUGUGUAAGCGCAGCGAUGCGUUGAGCUAACCGGUACUAAUGAACCGUGAGGCUUAACCUUACAACGCCGAAG